CCCCCGCCCCCCGCAAGGACGCGGCGUUAGCACCGAAGAGCCCCGCAGGCCGUGCCCGGUGCAGGGCAUCAAAGGAAUGGAAAAGCAAACAGGAAUGGUUAGAAUGACCAGCCGUAUGUAUAAAGUACUGAAGCCGAAUGUCAAGCACCCCCUCGGCCCCCAACAAACAACACACACCUAACCAGCUAGAGUUCCCAGCUCUGGGAACCUUCCUUGCCAGAGGCUCCCUGAGGCCUGUACAGCUGGACUCGUAUGGGCUUGCUUUGCCAUCAUCAGAUGGAGCACUAGUCAGCCAAUAAGUAAGCCAUUACUCAAUGGGUUAAGGUGGAAAACGGACCUUCAGUGCUCAAAAUGUGGCAACUGGCCGCCAAAUGACAUGCCCAGACAGAGGGCUCCAGGGACAGAAGCUCCUGUACGGUGUCACCAUCGGAAUCGACAAGAGGGCGAGGCUGAUGAGUCAAAAGGCAGAGGAGUAUAGAGGAAAGGAACCUGAUAUUUGGUGUCAGGAGGUCUGGCCUGAAGCGCCUGCCCCACCACUACUUCCUGAAUGGCCGUGACAGUGGUUCAGCCUCUCAAAACUUCGGUUUCCUCCUCUGUAAAGUGCAAGUCGUCAUCCCGGCCCCUGGGUCACUAACGGAACCGAUAUGUGGCUGGAAUGAAAUAAGAUUGUUGCAGCAGUGGCCCUCAAUUGGUUCAUACCUCCCUGAAUCCACACCGUUGGGUGAUACCUUUCACAUUGACUCCAGGCGUGGCCAUGUAACUUGCUUUAACCGGAGACAAGAGCAAAUAUGACCCAGCAGAAAUUUUAAAGUGAUUGCAUGUUGAAGCUUGCCCUCCCAUAUGCCCUUUGGUACCCCAAGAACGCCGUGAUGAGAUCGCCGUGCAAAGCCUGGGCUUGAGGUUGAGACAGCAUAUGGAGCAGAGACAAGCCAUCCCAGCAGAGUCCUCCUCAACAAACAAGCCUAUCAAUCUCCAGCUCGGUAUGGCCACCUGUCCUCCUUAGAACCACCGGAUUUCAAGGAAAAUAGGAUGAAGCUUGCCAUCUCCCCUGACUUCACAUCUGGCUUCAGCCCAAAGUUACUCAAAACUUGAAUUUAGGUAGGAUUUAUGUAAAGACUUGUAUUUCUUAUUGAUUGAGAGAGAGAGAGAGAGAGAGACAGAGACAGAGAGAGUGUACACGCGCAAGUUGAAGGGAUUGGAAGAGCAGAGGGAGAGGGAGAGAGAGAAUCUCCAGGAGACUCCCCACUGAGCAGGGCACCCCAUGUGGGGCUGGAUCUCAUGACCAGAGAUCAUGACCUGAACAGAAACCAAGAGUCGGGCACUUAGUUGACUGAGCCACCCAGGUGCCCCAAGACUUGUAUUUCUUUAAAGAGGGAUUUGGGGACCAGGAAAGAACCAGCAUGCCUGCAAUAUAAGUAACAGCUCUACUGCCAAUUUGAGAAAAAGGGAAACUGAGGCAGGGCACAGUAAAUGUGAUGUGUGCCAGUACUUUUGCAGCCAGUACUUUCGACUUCCCGUAAGCCAAUUCACAUCAAAACCAUAUAAUCAUAUGCCCAAACCAAACUGUAGCAUCUCUGUGUGGAUUCCUCUAAAUAAAGUGCCGC